UUUGUAAGGCUUAGAAACCCUAAAAGCACCGAAUUCCAUUUGAUCUUUAAAGCUAAGCAGGGUCAGCCCUGAUUAGUACCUGAAUGGGAGACUGACAAUGUAUAAGAUGCAUGUAUGC
rnacentral:rRNA from 11 species